rnacentral:rRNA from 1 species
UACGUAGGGUGCAAGCGUUGUCCGGAAUUAUUGGGCGUAAAGAGCUCGUAGGCGGUCUGUCACGUCGGCUGUGAAAACCCGAGGCUCAACCUCGGGCCUGCAGUCGAUACGGGCAAACUAGAGUACUGCAGGGGAGACUGGAAUUCCUGGUGUAGCGGUGAAAUGCGCAGAUAUUAGGAGGAACACCGGUGGCGAAGGCGAGUCUCUGGGCAGUAACUGACGCUGAGGAGCGAAAGCGUGGGGAGCGAACAGG